rnacentral:rRNA from 1 species
CGGAUCGGAGUCUGNAACCCGACUCCGUGAAGCUGGAUUCGCUAGUAAUCGCGCAUCAGCCAUGGCGCGGUGAAUACGUUCCCGGGCCUUGUACACACCGCCCGUCAAGCCAUGGAAGCCGGGGGUGCCUGAAGUGUGCAACCGCAAGGAGCGCCCUAAGGUAAAACCGGUGACUGGGGCUAAGUCGUAACAAGGUAUC